rnacentral:tRNA from 1 species
GCCCUGGUAGUGUAGCGGCCUAUCAUGGGGCCCUGUCGAGGCCCCGACACGGAUUCGAAUUCCGUCCAGGGCGCCA